CCUACGGGGUGCAGCAGUGAGGAAUAUUGGUCAAUGGGCGCGAGCCUGAACCAGCCAAGUAGCGUGAAGGAUGACUGCCCUACGGGUUGUAAACUUCUUUUAUAAAGGAAUAAAGUGAGGCUCGUGUGCCUUUUUGUAUGUACUUUAUGAAUAAGGAUCGGCUAACUCCGUGCCAGCAGCCGCGGUAAUACGGAGGAUCCGAGCGUUAUCCGGAUUUGUUGGGUUUAAAGGGAGCGUAGUUGGGUUGUUAAGUUAGUUGUGAAAGUUUGCGGCUCAACCGUAAAAUUGCAAUUGAUACUGGCAGCCUUGAGUACAGUUGAGGUGGGCGGAAUUCGUGGUGUAGCGGUGAAAUGCGUAGAUAUCACGAAGAACUCCGAUUGCGAAGGCAGCUUACUAAACUGCCACUGACAUUGAUGCUCGAAAGUGUGGGUAGCAAACAGGAUUAGAUACCCUAGUAGUC
rnacentral:rRNA from 1 species